rfam:Bombyx mori DNA, contig: Bm_scaf6_contig5826, strain: p50T/Dazao, build 2, whole genome shotgun sequence.
UAAAAGUUAACUCUUUGUAUGCAGUUGGAACAGCGUCCCUAGCGGCAAACGUAGGUAAACGUUCCAAAUCCAUACAAAUUGGAGUUA